GACGAACGCUGGCGGCGUGCUUAACACAUGCCAGUCGAACGGAAAGGCCCUGCUUUUGUGGGGUGCUCGAGUGGCGAACGGGUGAGUAACACGUGAGUAACCUGCCCUUGACUUUGGGAUAACUUCAGGAAACUGGGGCUAAUACCGGAUAGGAGCUCCUGCUGCAUGGUGGGGGUUGGAAAGUUUCGGCGGUUGGGGAUGGACUCGCGGCUUAUCAGCUUGUUGGUGGGGUAGUGGCUUACCAAGGCUUUGACGGGUAGCCGGCCUGAGAGGGUGACCGGCCACAUUGGGACCGAGAUACGGCCCAGACUCCUACGGGAGGCAGCAGUGGGGAAUAUUGCACAAUGGGCGGAAGCCUGACGCAGCAACGCCGCGUGCGGGAUGACGGCCUUCGGGUUGUAAACCGCUUUCGCCUGUGACGAAGCGUGAGUGACGGUAAUGGGUAAAGAAGCACCGGCUAACUACGUG
rnacentral:rRNA from 1 species